GACUCACAAUAAGAUGGCCAAAAAUCACAGCCAUAAGUGGCAGCAUUUUCUCUAAAAUCAUGCAACUCAAAUUUCACUACACCAAUUGAUGUACGCGACAAUAAAUGUCCUUUGUCCUGCCCUAAUUAUCCAUGAACCUGGAUUAACUGGAGUUGUAACUGUCAUUGAUUCAUAGAGGGAUACAGCAAGAAAACAACCCCCUUAGCUCAUUGAGUCCAUGCUGACCAUCAAACACCCAUUUUUUACCUGCAUCUACAAUUUAUUGAUGGAAUUAACAGUUUGAAGAAGGGUCUCGACCCAAAAUGUCACCCAUUCCUUCUUUCCAGAGAUGCUGCCUGUCCCGCUGUUACUCCAGUAUCUUGUGUCCAUCUACAUGAGUUUAGAUUGUAGGAGUAAACUGGAGAUUAGGAGGAAAAAAACACUCAGCCACAAGGAGAUUGUGCAAUGUCCGAUGGCCCCAGAGAUCAGGUUGGAACUUUUUUCAUUGGGGCUACUGAUAAUAUUGGCAAUUUUAGUGUCCGACAAAAGGAGGAUUUCUGUCUUUGGCAUCGUUUUGCAAAGAUCAUGAGGUUCAUGGCUCUGGAAUGCCUGGGUUCUGGGAGGAAGCUAAGUACAGGGUGAUGUCCAGAUGUCCCCUCAAUUGUUAAUAUGUAUGAGGGUUUUGCAGAAAGAACUGGGCCUUGCUGCAAAUGCACGACCAGGAUUGGUUGGGGAAAGGUAUGAUAUAAUACCACUAUUAACUAUGUUGCAUGGUCUUUGCACUGUUAUCUUGUGGUUGGUCAAGGUGAGGGGAAUUGCCUGAAUUGUUUAUAUCACUUGGUAAAAUGCUUCUUUACUUAGGGGAACUGACUUCCAUUAGGAACUUUAUGUAGAAACAAAGUAAUGGGGUAUUUUGUGAUCGGGUUAGGGAACUGUCAAUUUAUGUUUUGUAUGAACUUUAUUUGAUUGGUUUGUAGGGGUUUCCCUCCCCGUGUAUUUCGGGCCACAGGUCCGAUACAGUAUAUGAGAGGGGACACCACAAGAGUCGGUGUCGAUCUUCUAGAAGUGCACUUGCUGGAGAUGUCUAUUCGCACAAGGCUGAAGGGCUUGGUCGACUAGAGACAAAGACCCACGGUAUUGGUGAGGUAUUGUAUAGGUUAGUGUGUUUGUGUUGAGAAAUAAAUAAGUUUAGUUGAUCCAGUGCUUGACUCAAUGUUUUACUGAAUUAGACUAACGGGGUGAGAAUAGGAGCAGAAUUACACUACAAGGAGAGCCAGCUUGCCUGUUGAAACUUGCCUUUGAACGUUUUGAUGGCAACAGUUCAGAGCUAGAGGUGAAUUUACUUGUAAAAUAUAUUCUCAAAAUCACACCUCUCUUUUCACAAAAUAACAAAGAAGAGCGCAGAAAAUCAGGAGUUAAUUGCUCUUUGGAGAAAAGUCUUACCAAGUUUUGGAGUCUGACUUUUAGAAGUCCCUAUAGAGUUAUAUUCUAAUUAUGGCCAAAGCAAGAAUUUAUGUUGAACUCUUUUGUUGGAUCAGCAAAUCACAGAGCAUGUGAUAUUUCCUUUUAUUGUUUCUAAUGCUCGUGCAGCUGUUUCCGGUCAUCAGUGCAGGACUGUACUCGUUACCAAUAAAUGUUCCGUUCUUGUUGCUCCAUUGCGGAAAUAUCAGGCUGACUGCGAAUAAUGUUAAGACAUGUCUUUACAAUAUCAACCAUCCAGUUUCACUAUUUAAAUUGAGCAUGGUUUUGGCUUUCAAAAUUAUGUUGCAAUUUCAUGUAGGAUUCCAUUUACGCUCUGUGGUUAUGAUAUGGUACUAUACAACUUUCUUUAUCCCAGGAGGGAAAUAAAUCUGCCAAUAGUCAUAAAACACAAGAUACAUGAAAUUAAAGUGACAAGUGGAAAGGAUAGGGGAUGUGCAAAGAUUUGGAGUGGGGAGGAGAGUCAGUCUACCCCACGACAGAAGGGGGAGGAGUUGUACAGUUUUAUAGCCUGUACUAUCAAAUCUGUACUGCGGGUUUUUCUCAAGUGGGGUGGUGCACUGGUCUUAGAUCUUGUUCUGCUGAAAUAGUCCUUCUGUUUCCUCACAGCUCCAAUGCCCAGCUUCAAUUCUGACUCUGGGUGCCCUCUUUGUGGCAUUUGCAUGUUCUUUGGUAACUGGAUGAGUUUCUCACAGCAAGACUCCCACAUCCCAAAACAUACUAGUUGUCAGGAUAAUUGGGUGCUGUAAACUAUUCCUUACAUAAGUGGAAGAAAAAUCAAGCUGGAAUUGAGGGGCAUUGCAUACAGGAUAGGUUACAAGGAAAUACUUCGGGUAUUCUGUAAAUCCCAAAACAAAAAAAAGAGCCGAAUAGAUGUUUUUCGAACAAUUCCUCUAGGUUUCAGUUCAGUUUCCAGCAUUUGCAGCCUCUUGUGUCUCUCUUGAAGAAAACGAAACUGAACCUGACGGAAGACCCGGCUUAAAUAACACAGGCGCGGUGCCAGAUGCCACUGUCGAUGCAAUUUUCCGGAGUCAAACUGUGGGGUUUGUGCACAACCUGGGCUUGAAGUCAUAUUUCGUGCAGUUUGCAGCAUAUCCUUUGCAACAGGAGGAAAUUGUUCUCAAUCUUAACUGGUCAUUUCAACUGGAAGUGAAAUCAAAAUGCAUCGCCUGUCUUUUCUACUACUGGCCUGCACUCUCCCUGCAGUGGAUGGCUUAAUUAUUCAGGUUGCGUUGGGGGGAUUGGU